rnacentral:rRNA from 1 species
GUCGGACGGCAGCAGGUCCUUCGGGAUGCUGGCGAGUGGCGGACGGGUGAGUAAUGCGUAGGAACCUAUCCUUUUGUGGGGGACAACCCAGGGAAACUUGGGCUAAUACCGCAUAAGCCCUGAGGGGGAAAGCGGGGGAUCUUCGGACCUCGUGCUGAAGGAGGGGCCUACGUCCGAUUAGCUAGUUGGUGGGGUAAAGGCCUACCAAGGCGACGAUCGGUAGCUGGUCUGAGAGGACGACCAGCCACACUGGGACUGAGACACGGCCCAGACUCCUACGGGAGGCAGCAGUGGGGAAUUUUUCGCAAUGGGGGCAACCCUGACGAAGCAAUGCCGCGUGGAUGAAGAAGGCCUUCGGGUUGUAAAGUCCUUUCGUGGGGGACGAAAAGGCGGAUCCGAAUACGGUCUGCUGUUGACGUGAACCCAAGAAGAAGCACCGGCUAACUCCGUGCCAGCAGCCGCGGUAAUACGGAGGGUGCGAGCGUUAAUCGGAAUUACUGGGCGUAAAGGGCGCGUAGGCGGUGGGUUACGUCUGCCGUGAAAUCCCCGGGCUCAACCUGGGAAUGGCGGUGGAAACGGGCUGACUGGAGUAUGGGAGAGGGUGAUGGAAUUCCAGGUGUAGCGGUGAAAUGCGUAGAGAUCUGGAGGA